rnacentral:rRNA from 1 species
UGGGGAAUUUUGGACAAUGGGCGCAAGCCUGAUCCAGCCAUGCCGCGUGCAGGAUGAAGGCCUUCGGGUUGUAAACUGCUUUUGUACGGAACGAAAAGUCUCUCUAAUAAAGAGGGAUCAUGACGGUACCGUAAGAAUAAGCACCGGCUAACUACGUGCCAGCAGCCGCGGUAAUACGUAGGGUGCAAGCGUUAAUCGGAUUUACUGGGCGUAAAGCGUGCGCAGGCGGUGAUGUAAGACAGUUGGGAAAUCCCCGGGCUCAACCUGGGAACUGCAUCUGUGACUGCAUCGCUGUAGUGCGGCGGAGGGGGAUGGAAUUCCGCGUGUAGCAGUGAAAUGCGUGAGUAUGCGGAGGAACGCCGAUGACGAAGGCAAUCCCCUGGGCCUGCACUGACGAUCAUGCACGAAAGCGUGGGGAACAAGCA